AUUGAACGCUGGCGGCAGGCCUAACACAUGCAAGUCGAGCGGAUGAAGGGAGCUUGCUCCUGGAUUCAGCGGCGGACGGGUGAGUAAUGCCUAGGAAUCUGCCUGGCAGCGGGGGAUAACGUCCGGAAACGGGCGCUAAUACCGCAUACGUCCUGAGGGAGAAAGUGGGGGAUCUUCGGACCUCACGCUCUCAGAUGAGCCUAGGUCGGAUUAUCUAGUUGGUGGGGUAAAGGCGUACCAAGGCGACGAUCCGUAACUGGUCUGAGAGGAUGAUCAGUCACACUGGAACUGAGACACGGUCCAGACUCCUACGGGAGGCAGCAGUGGGGAAUAUUGGACAAUGGGCGAAAGCCUGAUCCAGCCAUGCCGCGUGUGUGAAGAAGGUCUUCGGAUUGUAAAGCACUUUAAGUUGGGAGGAAAAGCAGUAAGUUAAUACCUUGCUGCUUUGACGUUACCAACAGAAUAAGCACCGGCUAACUUCGUG
rnacentral:rRNA from 1 species